AAAUGAUCAUACUAUGAAAGUAGAUUUUGCAUAUCAUAUGUUCGAUGAUAUGCUCAACAGAAUUAGUUUUUAAUUGCAGUUUGUGGAGUACAGCAAGAUGAUAUACUUGGAUGGAGACAUACAGGUUUUUGACAACAUAGAUCACCUCUUUGAUUUGCCAAAUGAGUAUUUCUAUGCUGUGAUGGACUGUUUUUGUGAGAAGACAUGGAGUCACACCCCACAAUUCAAGAUUGGGUAUUGCCAACAGUGCCCAGAUAAGGUCCAUUGGCCUCAAGAAUUGGGUCCUAGGCCUCCUCUCUAUUUCAAUGCUGGGAUGUUUGUCUUUGAACCAAGUCUCCCCACCUACCAUGAUCUCUUGCACAAACUCAAAAUUACUACUCCAACUUCAUUUGCUGAGCAGGUAAAAUAACACAGCCAUUAAUCAGAAAAUUCCUUGACAAGUAUUUCUAUGAAAUGAAAUUUAAAGUGUAUUAUAUGUUACAUUUGCAGGAUUUCUUGAACAUGUUCUUCAAAGAUAUUUACAAGCCAAUUCCCAAUAAUUACAACUUGGUUUUGGCAAUGCUGUGGCGCCAUCCCGAGAAUGUGAAGCUCGAUGAAGUUAAGGUGGUCCACUACUGUGCUGCAGGCUCCAAACCUUGGAGGUAUACUGGAGAAGAAGAAAACAUGGACAGAGAAGACAUCAAGAUGCUAGUGAAUAAGUGGCGGGACAUUUAUAACGACGAGACAUUGAAUUACAACAGGGGUCCCGGUCGUAGUGCUAAAUCGAUACCGGCGCUGCUUACGGAGGCUGGUGUUGUUCAUUAUAUCCCCGCUCCUUCGGCUGCUUAGUUUGGUCCUUUUGGUUGCUUAAUUCGGUUUUGAAUCUCGAAGGCUACUCUGAGUAGUUGGAUUAGUUCAGUUUUACAUGAAGCUGGUCCAUUUCUUUCUUAAUUCUUUUUUAUUUCAGGGAACGAGUUUAUAAAGUUCUCCUUCACGCAGCUUUAAUUGUUGCUUUUUAAAAUUUGUAAACAUUUUAAGAAUGUAUAGUAUGAUCUUUGUAAAUAUUACUCGAUGUUGUAAAGUGUUCAUGGUAUGGCAAAUAUUUUCUUCACCAUAAUUAUGCCUAAAUAUUUGUUAUUUUACUUCAUUUUUCUUACCGGGAAAACAAAGAGAAUUAUUUUGCCGUUCGAUAAAACUUCUUUCAGAUUUCAAGCGGACGAAACUAAUAUAUUCAUCAUACAUUUCGUUAAUCUAACAAUUUUUAUUCAGUUUUUAAUCACACAUUUCAUUGAACCUGUCUUUUUUAAUCUCAAAAAUCUUUGUCAAGCUAAGGCGGCAAGUUCAAUUGUCAAUAACAAUUACUAUCAAUAGUGAUUUGCAUGCAUCAUUGGUGAGUGGAGGGAAACCUCAUUUAGUAAAAUUCAACAUAUCAAUUUUUAACACAUUAAACAUAUUGUGUUACACAACUCUUAUACGAGGUAACAAGUAUGUGUUUGUAAGCACACGAAGGACCCUAAAACACUAAUCUCGACUCCGUAACAAACACACAUACAUGUCUAGCUUCUCUUGUUCUAUCCCUCUUACGUUCCUUUAUUUUUUGUAUUCUGGUUUACUUAUUUUUUUCUUCUACGCUAAAUGAAAGAUUGAAAUCAUCCUGUUUACAAGACAAUAGUGUAGUGCAAGGAUUAACAAAUGGAAUUAAAAACAAUUGAGGACAUAUUUAACAGAGUUUAUAAUGUCACAUAUGAAUAGUGCUAAUGUCAUAAGAUUACAUGGUAAGAGCAAUCAUGCUACACCUUUAUUUGGAUAGAAGUCUAAUACAAUUGAUGUACAAAACUUCAGCGUAUAUCAGGGCUGUAAUAACAAUUUCAUCUCAAACAAAUAGACAUUAAAUAUGUUAAGUCAGUAUUUGGUGGAGAUUAAAAUCAAAUUUUUAGUAGAUUUUGAUAGAAGUUAAUGAAACGUGUGUUGGAAAAGUUGUGAGUUUCAUGAAAAAUUUAUGGUUAAAAUUAAUUGUUGAGUUGGAUUUAACUAUCAAACAGGGCUAAAAAUUAUUUGGGUUACUAGAAAGUAAAUGCAAUUUCUUCCAUAAAAAAUUGAUCAUCCACCAUCCAAUUUUCUUGGAUCAUUUGCAAAGUGGCAUUGGGUCGCCCAAAUGAGUUAAGGAAGCGUAGUAAAAGUCAAAGAGUGAGCACUGAGUCAAGUUGAUGAGUCGGUUUGCUUCCUUCCAACCGCAUUAAUCAUUAAUAAUAUCCUAAAUUAAUUAUCUUUUUCUUAUCUAACAAAACUGGAAUAAUGCUCCUGUAACCUGAGUGGGUCCGUUUGGCUACGGUUGCAAUUUUUAAUCGAAUAAUGCUCCUUGUACACUCCAUGUUGUACAUGGAGUUUAACAUUGUUUGCAAAUUCUUGCAAAUUCUUGCAAAUUCAAAAAUGUAUGGACGGAAAAGUAUUUUUCAUUUUAAAACUGGUCAUUCGUUGUACGACAAGUGGCACAAUGUCAAACUUAAUGUUAAAGAAAAUAUACGUGUAGUUUUAAUCAACCUUUAAUUAGUUGCCUAGGAAGUAGGAAUGAAAACAUUUAUUAUUGAAAGUAACGUUUUUAAUAAAGUAUAUUUCCUUUUUCUUUUUUGCGUUGUAUAACUUUAUAUAAUGCUUUAAUAUUGUUGAGUGAAAAUCAAAAUAUGUAGAAAUUAUAUAGCACUGUCACAAUUGAUCUCAAAAUUCAAAUGUCAGUCAUGUGUCAUCGAGAACAAAUUACAUAACAAAAAUUUGCUAUGGCAAUUGUGGUGAACGUGAUAUGAUUCAUCCAACUUUGAUGAGAAUUAAACUUCAUCGAACAAAGAUUUACAUCUCUCGAAUAAGAUUAAAUAGUUCUAUAUAUCGUGACAAUAGAUAACAAAAAUUGAAUGAUUUCAGUACAGUUUCGUGAGCUUAAAGCACCAAACUUAAGUCCAUACGUCAUCCUUUAACACAUCAAUUCUCAUUUUAUCCACUCUUCUUAUUUUGAUUUUACUAAAUAAAUAAGCAGUAAAAGUCAAAUAGUCAGCAGGAUUGUUAAGGGGUAAAAGUUUGAGUUCUUAGUACUCAUUUAUCUUUUUCUUAUCCUAAACACGUUUCGAAGUUUAGACCAAUGAACUAAACUAUAAGUUACUAGAAGGCCCCCCACCUACAGGGGAGCGCCAUGUGGUGCCUAGUAGUACAGGGCACGCUUUGUGGGUCCUAUUUAUUGGUUUUGGUGCGAUUUGGUCGGUGACAGUUGCAAAUUAAUGAACCAUUAAUAAUUAAUAACCAAAUAAAAUUCUUUUCGAGGACCGAAACAUGCAAGUAACUUAAAUAAACCUUUUACUAUUUAUUCAACAUUAUUAGAGCAAUGCACAGAGCAAUAUUAAAAAAAAAAAAAAUUACAAAAUUUAUAUAUUGUAUUGUUUGAUUUUAUAAACACUUUAUAUUAAGACUUGAGGUCCAUCGGACCUCAAGUCUUAACAUAAUAUCUGAGCCACUACAUGAAUUUCAAGAUUGGUUUGCUCAAUUGAGCCACCAUCUUGAGGAGGCCUAUUAAGGAAUGUGUUAUCCCACAUUCAUUUAAUACCAAAAUAAAUAUCAAUUUAUAAAAAUCUUGAACUUCUCCACUUAAUAAGAUUAACCUUAUUAAGAUGGAUCUCAAAUCUUAACACUUUAACAGUUUAAUGAAAACUACAAAUAUCAAAAAAUUAUAAUAGUUAAAAAAUUACGUUGUGUUGUGACAAUUGAGCUCAACACUUGUGUACUAAUUAUGUCUCGCUAAGUAAAAUUACGCAUACAAAUGAAAAUUCACUUGAAAUUGAAAAUAAAAUUGUCGCCACAUAAAUUUUGCUAUGAUAAUUGGGGUGAACGUGGUUUGAUAAGAUAUUAAUAGAAUACCAUUUGAAAUCUCUCGAAUAGUAACAAAUGGUUCUAUGUACAGUGAAAUGACAUGAUCAGAAUUGAUUGGCUUCUAGUUUGAUUUUUCUUGUUUAAUUUCGUAUUUUUUUUUUGGUUGGAUUUUAGUGCAGUGGAUGAACCCGAAUUCAUUCAUAUCGUACAUAAACUUUACAUAUUAAAUUUAUACAUAUCGUAUAUGCAAUAUAUCAUAUAUACGUAUACCGUAUUCGCAGCAUACCGUAUAUCAAUAGCUUAGUAUACAGUAUAUGUUGUCUACCGUAUAUACAUAUAUUGUCUUUGGAUACUGAUUUUGCCUUACACAUACCAAAAUUGCAGAACACCGUGCCCUCGUUUAGCUCCUAUUCUUGCCAAAUUUUAAUGUUUUGAAUAGUAUUUUUUUGAAUAAUGUGUGGUUAAAAAAGAAUGAAAAUUUUUGAUUUGCGUGUAAUAUUAUUUUAUGGAAGAUUGUGUGGUUGAAAAUAAAAGAGAGAGAGAGAGAGAGAGAGAAUGAGAAUGAGAAUGGGGGUCGAACGGGGCGCGUAUAUGCAGUGAACAAGAUAAAAUCUAGCAAAUUUAAUUUUCAAUAGAAUAAACAAAUUAAUUUGAUCAACUAAUCUAGUUGGCCAAAUAACAUAGAUUAAUUUUUAAUAAACAUAAAUGGAAUGACAAAAUAAUAAAACUGGAAGUUAUAUGAAUCAUACAAAUAAAUUGCAGAAAUAUAUAAAUAACGGAUGAACUUUCAACUCGAGGCUGUGCGAGCAUUGUUUUUUUAAAACAGAUUCGCCCCCUAACCGUAAGCGCUUGAGAUUUAAUUCAAGCGUCUGUUUCUAAGGAUACAAUGGUAGACCAGUAGAAUCUGAGCACUGCAGAAUCUACUCUGACGAAUUGAUUAAUAUCCGAACAAUAUCAUCACCAAGACGAUGCUGACAGAAAAAUUAUGUAUGCAGACAGACUGAACUACAUUGUGAUGUAGAACAAUCUUUCUUUGUAUUUUGUAUAUGCACUAUUUUCGUGUGUUCUGGAAUUGCUGGAAAAUGAGAAUUUAUAUAAAUAAAUUUGCCAUUAACUCUAUAGCAAUAAAUAUUGGAGUCACUUCAGUUUCUAGGAGUUUUAGAAGUUUCAUAAACUCAAAUGUCAGUGGAGAAAGCAAAAAAAUUAAAAAAAAUUUGCAAAACGUGGACACUCCAAUCGGACCAAUUUUGCUCCGUUGGGUCCGACAUUCAUGUACGCAAGUCGUGCCCGCAUACAAGUUCAAGGUCUGAAUGCUAUUUCGGUCCAUGAUUUGUACCCCCUGCGUGUGCGCACAUGGAGAGAGCCUCUGUACUAUACAUGAUUACACCCUUCCAAUGUGCUAUCAUAUUUAAAGUGAUUCUUAUUUUCAUAUUUUUCCUAUGUGGGAAACUCAAUUUUUCUCACAUGAACCAUCUUCCAAUGGUAAACUUUGAGCUUCAAUUUCUCAUUCACCCGAGCUUCAUUUUUGGUAAGUAAAUAUAUGAUUUUGAUACUCUCACGAAAGAGAACAUGGAUCAACUUUGAUCUUCCAAAUUUAAGCAACGAGUCCCAUCAAAAAUUGUGCCAAAAGUGAGUCAUUUACUCAUUUUUUCCAACAAUAUCUAUACAAUAAAUUGUUGAUAAAUGCGAAUAUGCAUUAAUAAUUAAGAUAAUUUAGUUCAGUUGUUGAUUUGUUAGUGAAUGUUUGAUUGGAGUUUAAAUAAUAAUUUUAGUGAUAAGUUAUCGAUUUAACAUAAUUAACGAAUAAUAAGUGGAGAGUAAUUGAAGAUCCAACAAAUGCUUGUAGGUUUGCGCAUUAGGUGGGUCGAGCAGUGAUUGGCAUGCAUUGGUGAGUGGAGGGACUACGAAGGACAUCAUUUAGAACCAUUCCAUGUUGCAUUGGUGAGGUGAGGGACUACGAAGGACAUCAUUCAAAACAAUUCUAUAUACUAGUUAUGUACUUAUUAAUCACGUUACAUUGCAUAACUCUAAUACGAAGUAAUAAGCAUGUAUUUGUAAGCCUGGGUUUUGAUAUCCAAUAAUCCGAGCGAUAAUUUAAAACAGUUGUUGGAUUAUUUAUCGACAUCAUGGACUUGACUCGACUUGGAAAUAACCUAAACUUGUGGAUGGUCCAAGUGGUAGUUGGAUUAUUAGAUUUUAGGUUUUGGAUUAAUUGGUAGCCCAUUAGUUUAGGUUUUAAGAAGCCCAUUUGCACAAGUCUUUGGCCCAAGUUGUAUAUCUAACCUAUCCUAUAUAUACCCAUCUUCUUGCAGCCCUUUUUAUGGUGGUGUGUGGGUGUGUGUUGAGAGAGGGAGAGAGGGCCGAGAUAGAGAGGAGGUCGAGAGAGGUGAGGGGGCAACCAACUUGGUGGUUGUUGGAGUGAGCAACAUUGUUGCUUCUUCUUUUUCCUAUCACCACCACAUCCCUUCUCCUUUGUAGAGUUUGAGAGAGUUUGGGCAGUUCAAAGUGAAGGUGUAGCUCUUGGGUUGAGCCAAGGUAAAAUGGUGUUCGUUUGAAUUUUUUUAAUCCAAAAUCAAGAUUUAUUGAGGGAUUUCCGCUACAGCCUGCAUAAGUGCUUAAAACAACUUAACCUCGAGUCUGCAGUGUAGUGUCACUACAACAAAAAUAACUUUUUACAACAUUCAAAAAACAUUGCUAAAGACCUUUUGCAACGUUCGAUCGCAUGUUGCAAAUUUGGAUGUUGCCGUAGAGUAGAAGGAUAGAACAACGUUUUUCAGACGUUGCAAUAAACCCAUUAGCAACGUUUUUCAAACGUUGCCAAAACCAUUUUGCAAUGUUUAAAAACCCUUUCGCAAUGUUUUUUGAACGUUGCAAAAAAAAAAAAAACAUUUCUUAACGUCUGAAUGUUGUAAAAAACAUUUUCGCAACGUUUUUUUGACCGUUGCCAUAAGGUUUUUUUCAGCAAUUUAUGUAAAUUGACUCGUAAAAUUGAAAAAGACUCAUUUCAAAUAAAUUUUGAAAUUGCAUAAAAAUUGAUAAUUUCAUUACAAAUUUUUGAAUCUAUACAUUUGAACAUUAGAAUGUCAUACACUACCACCUAAAUAAAAAGGAGCUUCAAAAUGAAACAAAAUUAGGAAUAAAAUUUUGAUACAGCUUAGGCACGAAAAGCUUAUUGCCACACUUGCAAUAUCAAGCUUCUGGAUAAUACUCUAAUGGCAUACUCAAUCCUGUCGUUCUUCAUGCAUUCUUCGAUUUGCUCGCCAUUCAAUUCAUGAUGGCCAACGAAGCUACAAAAGAAGCAUUGAAUCAAUAAGAAAAAUGUCUGUGUUUGAAUUUCAAUCAAAUGAUAUGUUAUUUACCGUUUCUACAAAAUUGACACAUGGAAAAACAACUACCUGAAAAAUUGACACCAUAUACAUUAGAGUUCAUCAAAAGAUUCCUUAGAAGAUUUAAUACACUAACUGAACUAAAAAUAAAUUUCCAAGUCAUGCCUUAAUAGUUGUGCUAUUUUGAAAUGAUUGUAUUUGAUUUUUCCCAAAGAAGAACGGAAAGAAAUAAAUGAACAUACAGUUCUUCCAAGGCCUCUAGUAACAAGUGGAUCGCAUUGGAUAACACCAUAUCUUCUGCUAAAGUUCCUGCACAAAGAGAAGCUAUUAAGCACUAUUGAAGACUUGAAGCAACAAAAAGAAAGCUUGCUUAUAAGACAGAAGAAUUUUUAAAAAAAAAAAAAAGAAAAGAAAAGAAAGAAAAACUUAAUUUGUUUCUUUUUGUACAGUCACUGUUCUAACUCCACUCAGCGCGACCUACGUGCAUCGUGUCGAACCAAAGAUAGACACUGCAUAUACUAAAAAUUCUGAAAAGUAAAUGAAUAUUGUUAAAUAAAAUUUGAUCAAUUUUUUCUUGGAUCAUUUGCAUCGAAUCGCCCAAAUGAAUUACUAGUUGUUGACCUCGAUUUUUGCACGAGUGACUGGUCAAUAGAUCCUAACUCCACUCAUGUCUACAUUGUAUUUCUCCUAUACCCUUGAACAAACGGUUAAGAACAAGUGGCCUUCUCCGAAUAUGAGAGAGGCGACCUUGUGCACUCCGCCGGUCUUUGAGAAUAUAUGAUUAAAGUAGAAAAUUUUAUGGGUUUAUGUGCAAAAUUAUUUAAUUUGGGAAUUUAUUUUUUCUAAAGAAUGUGUUCCAAACAUGGACUAAUAUGCCAUUGACCUUUCAUUGCAUGCGUUGAUAAACGAAAAAGUGUGAUAAGUCAAGGAAUCCAUUACCUUAACAAUCAGUAAAAUUAUAUAUAUAUAUAUAUCUUUUAUCAUUUCCUUUUUCUUUUUCAUUUUUCUUUUUCAUAAUCUGUAUAUUCAACUCCUCCGAAGUGAUUUUUUUUUUUUGACUUUUCCUCAACUAUAUUUUAAUCUUUGCAAAUCAGUGUAGUAUUGCAUAGACUAUUUCUUAAUUAGAGAACAUAUUUAUUAAAAAUGAAUCGCAACAGUAAAAUAGUGAGUAUUGAGGGGUACACGUUUGAGUGGAUCUUUCCUGCCGUUGAUUAUUGAUAAGUGUGUUUUACACACUUAUUUUGACCAUAAAAUAUGGAUAAUUGUUGAUAAAUAUGUUAAAAUAUAGCUUAACUAUCGAUGAAUAUGGUGGAAUGUAAGGAAAACAAGCCAAAAAGGACCCAAAUGGGAAAAAAAAAAUUCAGGAACCAAAACUCAAAUAGACGAACGAAAGACAACCCAAAAGUGGAAACGAAGAUAUGAAAGGGUCAAUGACCAGUUUAGUGAAAACAUAAAGUAUUGGAAGAAUACAAAAUGAGAAAAUAGGUCAAGAAACGAGAAAACAGAGUUCGGUGACUAAAAUGCAAAGAUUGAAUUUUUGCUUGAACUGCACUAUAGCAUAGUUAUUUCUUCAAUGCAGUAGCACAUCUAUUUUCAACAAGUUUUAGGGCCAAAAUCCAUUGAACUAUGCUAUUGCGUUGAUUUACAAAUCCGGCAGGAAAAAUCUAGUUUCAUUAUUUGAUUAAAACUUCUAUAAAAACCAGUUUUGAGACAUCUUUUAAAGCCCUAAGGCUGUUCCGAAGGGAUUAAGAAGCAUUCUAACAUAUUUUUAAGAGUUUUAGAACGUAGAAGGAAGAGAGAAACAUGAAGAUCGACCCAAAGACGCGAAGAUCCAAUUCAAGAAUUAAUUGGGUGAUGUCCUUUCUCCAAUAUUUCUUUUUGUUUUCUUAUUUCCACCAUGUUAUGUUAGAUUUAUAUGUGCUAGGAGAACGAUAAACUAUGUGAUAUGAUAUUUUAAUCUUUAGUUUUACAUUUUUGACAUUAAAUCACCUUUUUGGAGUUUGAAUUAUUUAUAUGAAUUUAUUUUCUUUACAAUUGUUGUGCACAUGAUUGUGUGAAUUUGGUGACUUGUUUCGUGCAUUCGAAAGAAGGGGAAUGGACUCGACAUGAUAUAAAAUCAUCGUAGGGUCCGAUAGGGGGAUGAAAAUAUAUGGCUAUACUCUAUGUGAAUCUUUAAGUGUUCAUAAAAAUUCAUGCAUUCUUGUGUAUUUGCAUCCGUCAUAGAAAUAUAGUCGGAUCGUAUAUGAGAAUAUGUUUAACAAUACUCGAGAGAGAUUGUUGAAUAAAAUAGAAACAUUGAUUCGUCAAAAUUCAAUCGUGUUGUCAAAAUAUAAAAUUAAGUUUAAAAAUGAUUAUUGCAUAGGUAUUUGCGAUUCUAGUACGUUCGUCAUUCAUUAAAGACAUCAACUUGCAUUUAAACACCACUUGCAUUUAGUUUAGUUAAUUCAUUCAUAAUUGUAUAUGUAGUUUAUUUUAGUUAUUAUUUCACCACAACAAAUACAUUCUUAUCAUUCUUGUUUUGGUUAAGAUCAAGAUUAUAAAAAUUGAACUAAAUCAACCAUUGUGGGACGAUAUUCGGACUCAAAAUUCACUUAUUACUUGUUAAUGAACCGUACACUUUCAAUGAUUUAAAUCGAAGGAUAUUUUCGUGAACAAUUAUCAAUCCAUCAUUAUCUUGAAUUGUUAUCCUAAAAGCUUUAGACUUGGGGACCAACUAACAUGAGUAUAAAAGUUGUAAAAUGUAGUAGAUAGUAGAAUGUGGAAAAGAGUAAGAAUUAUUGUGGAUGUGUGAAAAAAAUUGUGAAAUGGAUUAGCUUAUUAUAGAAUAAAAUAAAAUAAAAAAUUAAAACGCCAAACGGCUACUUUAAAAAAUUAAAAAAUUAAUAGUUCAGUGCAACGGCUAUUGAAGUAAUCGUCUUGGUCAUUGUAAAUAGCGAUGGCUCGCCGAGCCUGCUCAAUAAAGGUUAAAAUAAAAUUUUAUAUACAUGAAUUCUAAAAAUUCUAAAGAAACAAAAGUAUAAAAUUCUAAAAUUUUAAAACAAUUACAAAUAACUAAAAAUAAUUUAUUUUUUUUAAAAGUUCAAUUUCUUAAUAGUUAUUUAAUAAAAAAAUCUUAAAAACAUAUUUAAAAAAAUUCAAAGUAUACAUCUUUAUUUCUUAUUUUUGUAUUUUGCCAACUCAAUUUAUUAUUUGUUUUUGUUUUACUUUUGUCAAGAAAAUAUUGUAAAAUUUUUCAGCUUUAUAAUGUAUAUAUUAUUUGAGAAAAUUGUUCUGUUUUACUGAAUAAUCAAAUUUCACAAAAAAAAAAUGUCAUAAAAUAAUUUAUACAAAUUCCAAAUCAAACACUUUUUUUCUUUCUUUUUUCUUUUUUUGACAAAUAGUCUUAUAGAAUGAUAAAUUAAAUGUAUUUUAACAAUCUUAGAAUAGAUUCUCAAACCAAAAACUAAAAAUGGGAGCAAAAUUUCAAAGGAUUAAUAGCAGAAAAUACUCCUAAAAAUGUUUCUAUGUACGAAAUACCUCCCUAUUGAAAAUCGUAAAAAAGCCUCACGUUUGAAUCCUUUUGUGUGAAAACCCCAUGUUCUCAAAAACCUUUAGAGCCCGUUUGGGAGUAAUUUUUCAUCCCAAAAAAUUGAUUUUUGACCGUUAUUUCAUUAUUUCAACCGUCAUUUUUUACUUUUUCUCUUACGGAUGGCCCUCACUUUUUUCGUAACGAUCAAAAAAUCAAUUCUCAAAAUCCCUACCAAACAAGUCCUUAGAUUAAACGUUAAAACAGUAAAAAAUGUCAAAAUUAAAAAUGAAUAAUUGUAAUUUUAGUACCCAAGUUUUUUUUUUUUAACAAAUUAAAUCUAAAUUUUUUAUAUGUGCCAUCGACGGUCUCAAAUAUUUAAAACUUUAUUUUUCACUACACUCACCCAACCCACCCCACACUAUCCCUCUUCAUCUUGUUUCCCAAAAAUAAAAAAACCAAAAAAUAACAUAGUUCUCUCCGCUUCUAAGAUUUUAACUGUGGCCAGUAGCCCAAUUACUUUCUUCCUUGGCAGAAAAAGUCACAGCGUGAAACCAUGGGAUCUGGGUUUGUUAUUUCGGGAAGGAGAAUCCUCACAAAUGCCAACAUUUGUGCUUUUAAGGAAGCAUGGUUUUCCUAUCGAACUCAUAUUUGAAUCUCAUUAAAUUACAUUUCAUUUUUUUUAUUUUAUUUUCAGUCAUACAAUUUUUUAUAAAAUAAUAUUACACGUAAAAUGAAAUUUUUUUUCUUUUCUCAAUUAUUCAUUUUUUAAAAGAAUACCAUUCUAUCUAUUUUCAUUUAAAAAAAGUGAGGGCCAAACUGGGCGAUCACAGGGCAAAAGUCAAAGCUGUCGGUCAUGAGUGAGAUUUCACUAUUCUUGUGGUUGAGAAUAAAGAACUCUGGGCCCCAAUGAACUUUCUGGAGCUUGGUGACGUUCCUUUCCUUCAAGAAGCUGUGGCUGUUGUUGGUGAUCCUCGGCGAGGGGACAAACAUUACUAUGCAGCGAUUUUUGGGAAGGACGUGUGUGUCCUGUGGGGGUGGUGUUGAAAAGUAAAGUUUUUAAGAUUUAGGAUUGUAAGUUGCACAUAUAAAAAAUUUGGAUUUAAUCCCUAAAAAAAAGAAAAAAAAGAAAAAAGGGGUUUGGGCACUGAAAUUGUAAUUAUUCCUUUUUUACUUUUGACAUUUUUUACUGUUUUUAACGACAAGUUUGAUGAAUAUUGACGAUAGGAAGAUUUUUCGCACAAAAGGUUUCAAAUCGGGAGGUUUCCGACAAGUUUCAAUAGGUAGGAAGAUAUAUUAUGUUCUUGUUUGAGCCCCAUUUUAAGGGAAUAAUACAUUUUUAAAUGGUGAUUGAUGGAUAAUGUGUGGUUAAAAAAUAAAGAAAAGUUUUGGAUGUGCAUGUAAUAUUACUUUAUUAAACAAUAUAUGAUUGAAAAUGAGUUUUGAAAAAAUGAAUUUUGAGAAGAAUGGGGCUCAAACAAUACAUGAAAACGUUUCUAAGGAGAUUUUCUGCUAUUAAAUCAAAUUUAAAACUUAAAAUUUUAGGGGGCUUUUUUGCCCCAUUAUUUGUGAAUAAUGUAUUAUGAAAUAGUGAUUGAUAUUAAAAUGUGUGGUUAAAAAAAUAAAAAAAAUUAAUUUACGUGUGAUAUUAUUUUAAUGAAAAAUGUGUGAUUGAAAAGAGUACUGUAGAGAAAAUAAUGUAGAAGAAUGAUAGACAAACGCACACUUAAAUACAAAUCAAUAAGCCCCAAAACACGGAACAUUUCCGUUCCUCAUAUUCUGCAAUUUUUACGCCCUCAUAUCUGCAGUCAUAUGCACAUGCUUAGUUGGUCCACCUCUAAGUGACACAUGUAAGCCGGUUGAAUAGGUUUGGUCCAAUAACUGUACCAGGUCAAGUGUUGACACGACAAGUUUGUUAAAAGCAGUUAAUAUUAUUAGAAGAGUAAUACUAAGGAAAUAAACAAGAAUCAUGCCUCACGUAUAGGGCAGAGGCUCCUCUAUCGGACCGACACAAGGGGCGGGUCCGUGUGAUUUUUUUUAAUGCAGGUCGGACCCACCAACCUGUCAUCUACAGUGAUGGACAUUAUUCAAUAAACAAAAACAAAAAAAAAAAUUUUGAGCAACAAAGGAUGUUAAUUAUAAGGAUAAUGCUAUUUAUACAUCAUGUGGUGUCCAUUUUGAUGUCUACCUUUCUCAUGUGGAAGGGGACCAUUUUGAAUAAAUCAUAUUUUAAUUACAAUAGGCCCCCUCCAUGUGGGGGGGGGGGGGGCUACCCCAAUGUGUAUGUAGCGUGACCCUAAUUAUUAAUAGUUUCCACUAUUUUGGUAAAGGAGACGCAUAUGGUGCACGCCAUUUCAUUACUUCAAAUUCUUCGGCUCCAAAAUACAAUACAAAUAACAAAUCAAUCAUCGAUUUCGGUUUUUCUUGUUUUUAAAUAAAUGAUGAGCUAACGAUAAUCGAUCAUCAAAAUCAACUAAAUAUUAUCAAUCUUUUGUGGUCAAUAUCAUGAUCAACUGCUUCAACAAAAUUAUUAUCCUAAAUUAUCUUUUUCUGAUCCUAAACGUUUUUAGACCAACUAACAGACCUGCAAAUGUUCAACAUAUGACCCACAGUAGUGCUGAGGAAGGUGCUUUAUAGACACGUGGCACAAUCUCGUCCCUUUAAAUGAUGAAAAAUUUGUGUAACCUGUCAAGCUAAUAUACACACUUUUAGUGGGUCCUACCUUUAAGUGACACCUUUAGGUCCGUUAAUGGUUAACCGAUUUUGGUCGGUGACAGUUGCCGUGUGACGGUUGCCGUUGGUCCAACGCUUCAACUGUAGUUGUAAUUAAUCAAAUAAAAUUCUUUUGUAGUUACCUCGGAGAGAAACAUAUAGAAUUAGGUGCACCUUAGUCCAAUAAACAUUCAUUAUUUAUUCAAAACUAUUGAGAGUAACGUGUUGAACGGUAUUUUUGUGUUAUUGUGUUUAAUGCUUUGUGAAAAUUAUAGUAACUUACAUAGUAUUACACUAAUUGAGCUCAAAAUUCGAGUGCCAAUUAUGCGUUACUAAGUAAAAUUACGUGACGAAACGAUUAGUGACUUGACAUUAAAGGAUAAUACAAUGUGUAAAAUUUGUAAUGACAAUUAAGAGUAAAUAUAGUUUGAUUCGUCUAGCUCUUAUGAGAAGCGAAUUAAACUAAAUAUGAGUGGAAUUCUACUCAUGGACCAAACGAAACCAAAAUUGAUUGAUUUAAUUUAUCGUGGUUUUAAUUCUUUUUAUGAUUCAUAAAAACACAAAGUAUAUAUUCAUAUGAUAUAAUAUAGUACAUAAUGUUUCUUUUAAUCUAUUCAAUUUUGAUUUUUCUUGUUUUUUGAUUCAAGUUUAUUCUAUCAUUGUUCUUUAAUGAAAAUGCUUGACAAAUCUUAUCGUCCCUUAUUUUUCAUUAACGUUAACCAUUUGAUUCAAAAGUUUAAUCGUUCAUUGUUUUUAAUCAAAACCUGAUACAUGAACAAUUUCUUUAAAUCGACAGCGUCAACAUGGUGAAAUAUGAGUUUCAAGACAUUUCUCUACUUUAAAAUCAUAUCACAUGAUUAAAGAGUUUAAAUUGUUAGAUAUGAUUGCAUAUUAUUAUUUAAAUGUUGUAGUCAACUUACUCUUGUUUAAGAUUGAAAACACUCAUUUAAUAGUCCAUCUUCCCUUCUACUUUUUCUGGUUUUCUCCAUCUAGUGUGCUCGAUUUUCCUUAUUCUACACUAGAUGUGAGAAAAAUUGUGUUAUCUUUCUUCAAUAUUAAUGAAAACGCCUAUUUCAUGAGACAUCAAUUAAGACUAUACAAGUUUAUUAUUAUUAUUAUUAUUAUUUUAAACUUUACUAAAAAAUCCAAUAUUCCUGGAUUGAGAAAGAUAAGCGAACUAUUGUUUACAAUAUAUAAUUUCGGGUCAAGUAAUCCCAAUAUAACAUGUAUUGAUCAUCGAACUCAACUAUAGUUUGAGGUUUCUAAUUUUGAGAGUAUUCUAAAUUUCCGUCUAGAAGAUUUCGCCUCUGUUUGUCAUCAUUUUUUAAAAUUUAUUUAACUCAUUUUCAAUUACAUAUUACAUGAAAUCAACCAUUUAUAAUAACUUUUUCACCAUAUAUUUCAUCAAUUUUUAUCUAAAUUUACUAUAAAAAAAAAUCUUAUUUUCAUUUAAACCAAACAUCGACUAAUUCUAAAUUAUCUAUAAAUAUAUAUUAUAAUAUAUAUGUCAAGACCACCUUCAUAAUUUUUCUCGUAAAUUCUUAUAAUCAACUACUGAUAUACGGCACCAAUAUUUUCAACUUUCUCACUGGACCAUUUCGUAAUUCUAGAAAAACAUUAGGUAGAAAAGUCAGUCAGUUAGCCGUGACUAUCGAUUCGAUGAGUGAUGAGUCAGUACUUUUUUCCAACAAUUAAUUGUGAAUAUUAUCUUUUCCUUAUCCCAUCUUAUCCAAAAUAAAAUAUAGAAUUAAGACCAACUAAUAAAUGUUGAACAAGGUGGUGCUUUAUGUCUACGUGGCACAAUCUUUUCCCUUAAAAGUUACGCGGAAUUAACUGGGAGCCGUAAAGAUGUCCCACGUUUCACGUUUGGUUGUCUCGGGACCCACCUCCACCCACUAUUGUAACUAACGCGUGUGGGGUCCACUUAAUGGGUUACGAUUUGGUCGGCGACGGUUGCCAAUACCCCGUUUGGCCCCCCAGUCUCUCUCUCUAUUAUUUUAACUAUAAAAUCUUUCGUAAAAUAAUAUUAUACGUAAAUCCAAAAUUUCAUUUUUUUUCAACCACACAUUCUUCAAAAAACUAUUGAAUUUGACAGUACUUGAACGAAUUUUACAUUUACAAGAGAAGUCCAAGAAAUAGAUUUUAAUUAGGUCUCUUUUAUGCAUCUGUUAAGAAAAUUAACAACUUUUUACAUGACUAUUUACGACCUCAAUGUGUAGGGUUAAAAAUAUUGAUUUGGUAGCAACAUUAUCAAAGUCACAUUUGAACUUAAUAAAUUGAAAUGAUAAAAUUUGGAAAACCAUUGAAGUUGAGAGAUUAGAUUGCAAUUUUAUUUAACAUCGAGUGGAACCCCGACAAAAUAGUACGUGGAUCUAACCAUAGAGAAUUCACAUGAAGAAAGGUGAGGAACAUAGUUAGAUAGAGUGCCAAAAUGAACGGUUAAGCUCCAAAUAAUCCAUCAAUAGCCUUAACUGGCGCGACUUGUAGCCACAUCGAGAUUGACCCCUUAUGUUUAACAGUCUAGGCCAGUACGGACUAUUAAAAUUUUUAGCGUACUCAAACCACAUGCAUUGGUCAGUCCGAAAAGCAUGUCGAUCCUUCUCGAAUUGAAUUGAACCGUAUUUUGUGUCUACUAGUCAACGUUGAUCGUGCAACACACGUUAUUAUGAAGUGUUUUAAAAGUGCUAUAAAAUUAAUAUUUGAAUAUGUAUGAAUGUUAAUUAAUUUAGAAUCAAUAUCGAGGAAUAUAUACGUGACAAUGAAUAUUAAAUCAUUUAUUUAAUUUCUAAUUAAGUAAAACUGGAUGUUAAUUAGCAUAUAUUGACGUGAAUAAUGAACUGCACUUGAAAUUCUAAUUAACUUAGAAUUAAUGAAAUUAAAAUACAUUAAUGAAGAUUGAAUACUAAUUAAAUGAACGUGAAUGUUAAUUAAUUGAGAAUUAAAAAUUGAUAAUUCAUACAUUAAUGAAAGUAUACAUGUAAAAUGGAUGUGUCAAAUAUACUUGUACAUUGAUGGCAACUAAAUAAUUAAAUAAAUAAAAUACGUAUUAAAAAAUAAAAAGUAACGUAUUAUUGAAAUAAUUUAUUAUAGAAAGCUAGAAUCAUCCAAAAAAAAGAUUCACACCUGACGUGAUAUUUACGAAAUGCUUUAUAAGUACUAUAGAAGUAAUAUUUGAAUAUGCGUGAAUGUUAAUUAAUUUUUAAUUAAUAUCAUGGAACAUAUUUAUGUGUGACAAUAAAUGUUAAAUCAUUUAUUUAUUUACUAACUAAGUAAAACUGGAUGUUAAUUAGCAUAUAUUGACCUGAAUAAUGAAAUGCACUUGAAAUUCUAAUUAACUUAUAAGUAAUGAAAUUGAAAUGCAUUAAUGAAGAUGAAUACUAAUUAAAUGAAUGUGAAUGUUAAUUAGUUGAGAAUUAAAAAUUGAUAAUUCAUACAUCAAUGAAAGUGUACAUGUGAUAUGAAUCUGUCAAGAAUACGUGUACAUUGAUGGUAACUAAACAAUUAAAUAAAUUAAAUAUAUGUUGAAAAAUGAAAAGUGAGGCAUUAUUGAAAUAAUUGUUCAUAACAAGUUAAAAUCAUCAAAUAAAUUAUUCUCACUUGAUGUGAUAUUUAUUAAAUGCUUUACAAGUACUAUAAAAAAAACUGAAUGUUAAUUAGCAUAUAUUGACGUGAAUGAUGAAAUGCACUUGAAAUUCUAAUUAAGUUUUAAUUAAUGAAAUUGAAAUACAUUAAUGAGGAUAAAUAUUAAUAAAGCCCCCGGUACCCAUUUUUUUCAAAAUGCAUUUUUUUCUCUCUUCUUUUUAUCCACACAUUUUUUAUUAAAAUAAUAUUAUAGGUAAAUAAAAAACUUUCCCUUAUUUUUCAAUCACAUACUUCCCAUCAAGUUACUAUUCUAAAAUGCACUUUUACCUAAAAAUGGCAAUUAAACACCCCCUAAAUGAAUGUUAAUUGAGAAUUAAAUAUACAUGUACAUUAAUGGUAACUAAAUAAUUAAGCCUCCAUUUGUCCUCAUUAAAUUACAUUUUUUUCUCUUCUAUUUUCAACUACAUAAUCUUUUAUAAAAUAAUAUUAUACGUAAAUCGAAAAAAUUUCCUUCCUUUUUAACCACUCAUUUUUUAAAAAAAAAAUACUAUUCCCCUCAUUUUCAUUUCACAAAAUGGGGAACAAACGGGGCUAAAUAAAUUAAAUACAUAGUAAAAAAAAAAAAAAAGGUAUUAUUGAAAUAAUUGAAUUACAGUAAGACUAUAAUUAGUUAAAAAAUAAUUCUCACUUGAUGUGAUAUUUAAUAUAUUAUAUAUUUAUUAAAUUGCAAAAAAAUAAAAAAAAUUCAAAUGCAAUUAUUUAGUGGAUAAACAUUCAAAGAAAAUUAUUGUUUGAAGAGUUUCAAGGCAAAAUUUGAAACUCCAAGGCGGAAUGAACCCAAACUUCUUUCCCUCAAUGAAUUUAAUUUAGUCAAAUCCAAAGUCAGAAUCGACCCGUUGAUUAAGGCAAGAUAUGUGAUUAAAAAUAAAAAAAAAAUAUGAAUCCCAAAAAAUAAAUUUUAAAUUUAAUUAAAAUAUUUAUCAAAAUUUAAAGCAAAUCUGAGGCUAAACUUUAUAUAAUUUAUUAUACUUUUCGUUACAAAUAGAACGAAAGAGCAACGGGGCGGUGGCUUGACAUUCAUCUGAAAGGAUAAAACUGUCCAACACGGAAAAUUUUGUCUGGAAAUAUCGUGGCAUGUUUUAGAUGCACCGCCCAACAAUCUCAUCGUACGACGACGUUUCUUCCUAAUUCACACCUCUUAAAUACUCGCCCUCAUUGGAUUCAUCCACGUGGCAACCUAUCAUUUUAUCUAGUAUUUUUUUUUUUUAAUUCUUUUAAAUCAUCGCCAACUUUCUAUAUAAACGUAGCCACACCUUACCAACAAUCAGCAAAACUGAUCAUACCUAUCAUCCUCUCUAAAUUUCCAAUACUUUCACUGCAAACUUGUUUACUCUCUUAGUUUUUAACGCCAAAAAUGGCUCCCAAUAACCAUGCAGAUGCAGCAUCCCGUGGUCUAGUUAAGGCCGCCAGUUUGUCUAGCCGAGCCUAUGUCACUUUCUUGGCAGGCGACGGCGACUAUGUGAAAGGAGUCGUGGGCUUGGCAAAGGGAUUGAGGAAAGUGAACGCUGCGUACCCACUUGUGGUGGCUGUUCUGCCGGACGUCCCAGAGGAGCACCGCAGCAUAUUGGUUAACCAGGGAUGCAUAGUGCGUGAUAUUGAACCGGUUUAUCCUCCUGAGAACCAGACCCAGUUCGCCAUGGCGUAUUAUGUCAUCAACUACUCCAAGCUUCGGAUUUGGGAGGUAAUAAUCCUGCAUAUUUUCAAGAAUCAAAUGAUUAUAUAUAAUGCAUGCACAGAAAACGUAUGAUGUUAUGCUCAAUUGAAUUUGUUUCUUAAUGCAGUUUGUGGAGUACAGCAAGAUGAUAUACUUGGAUGGAGACAUACAGGUUUUUGACAACAUAGAUCACCUCUUUGAUUUGCCAAAUGAGUAUUUCUAUGCUGUGAUGGACUGUUUUUGUGAGAAGACAUGGAGUCACACCCCACAAUUCAAGAUUGGGUAUUGCCAACAGUGCCCGGAUAAGGUCCAUUGGCCUCAAGAAUUGGGUCCUAAUCCUCCUCUCUAUUUCAAUGCUGGGAUGUUUGUCUUUGAACCAAGCCUCCCCAC
rnacentral:lncRNA from 1 species